UACAGAGGGUGCAAGCGUUGUUCGGAAUUACUGGGCGUAAAGGGCUCGUAGGCGGCCAACUAAGUCGGAUGUGAAAUCCCCAGGCUUAACCUGGGAACUGCAUCCGAUACUGGAUGGCUUGAAUCCGGGAGAGGGAUGCAGAAUUCCAGGUGUAGCGGUGAAAUGCGUAGAUAUCUGGAGGAAUACCGGUGGCGAAGGCGGCUCACUGGACCGGUACUGACGCUGAUGCGCGAAAGCGUGGGGAGCAAACAGG
rnacentral:rRNA from 1 species